AACGCUGGCGGCGUGCUUAACACAUGCAAGUCGAACGGAAAGGCCCUGCUUUUGUGGGGUGCUCGAGUGGCGAACGGGUGAGUAACACGUGAGUAACCUGCCCUUGACUUUGGGAUAACUUCAGGAAACUGGGGCUAAUACCGGAUAGGAGCUCCUGCUGCAUGGUGGGGGGUUGGAAAGUUUCGGCGGUUGGGGAUGGACUCGCGGCUUAUCAGCUUGUUGGUGGGGUAGUGGCUUACCAAGGCUUUGACGGGUAGCCGGCCUGAGAGGGUGACCGGCCACAUUGGGACUGAGAUACGGCCUAGACUCCUACGGGAGGCAGCAGUGGGGAAUAUUGCACAAUGGGCGGAAGCCUGAUGCAGCAACGCCGCGUGCGGGAUGACGGCCUUCGGGUUGUAAACCGCUUUCGCCUGUGACGAAGCGUGAGUGACGGUAAUGGGUAAAGAAGCACCGGCUAACUACGUGCCAGCAGCCGCGGUGAUACGUAGGGUGCGAGCGUUGUCCGGAUUUAUUGGGCGUAAAGGGCUCGUAGGUGGUUGAUCGCGUCGGAAGUGUAAUCUUGGGGCUUAACCCUGAGCGUGCUUUCGAUACGGGUUGACUUGAGGAAGGUAGGGGAGAAUGGAAUUCCUGGUGGAGCGGUGGAAUGCGCAGAUAUCAGGAGGAACACCAGUGGCGAAGGCGGUUCUCUGGGCCUUUCCUGACGCUGAGGAGCGAAAGCGUGGGGAGCGAACAGGCUUAGAUACCCUGGUAGUCCACGCUGUAAACGGUGGGUACUAGGUGUGGGGUCCAUUCCACGGAUUCCGUGCCGUAGCUAACGCUUUAAGUACCCCGCCUGGGGAGUACGGCCGCAAGGCUAAAACUCAAAGGAAUUGUCGGGGCCCCGCACAAGCGGCGGAGCAUGCGGAUUAAUUCGAUGCAACGCGUAGAACCUUACCUGGGUUUGACAUGGAUCGGGAGUGCUCAGAGAUGGGUGUGCCUCUUUUGGGGUCGGUUCACAGGUGGUGCAUGGCUGUCGUCAGCUCGUGUCGUGAGAUGUUGGGUUAAGUCCCGCAACGAGCGCAACCCUUGUUCACUGUUGCCAGCACGUUAUGGUGGGGACUCAGUGGAGACCGCCGGGGUCAACUCGGAGGAAGGUGGGGAUGACGUCAAGUCAUCAUGCCCCUUAUGUCCAGGGCUUCACGCAUGCUACAAUGGCUGGUACAGAGAGUGGCGAGCCUGUGAGGGUGAGCGAAUCUCGGAAAGCCGGUCUCAGUUCGGAUUGGGGUCUGCAACUCGACCUCAUGAAGUCGGAGUCGCUAGUAAUCGCAGAUCAGCAACGCUGCGGUGAAUACGUUCCCGGGGCUUGUACACACCGCCCGUCAAGUCAUGAAAGUUGGUAACACCCGAAGCCGGUGGCCUAACCGUUGUGGGGGAGCCGUCGAAGGUGGGACUGGUGAUUAGG
rnacentral:rRNA from 1 species